ensembl:lncRNA
GGGGGCGGGGGGGGGCGCGAGAGGUUCACCCGGGGAUUUUCGGCGCCGCUGAUUGAUGGGCGCGCAGGGCUGUGCGUGAUCCUUCGGCUCCGCAGGCGAGGGAUGCGGCGAGCGCCCGGCACGGCUGGAGCUGUUUUGCAAAACUCCCCAGGUGCGGCGGGGCCGGCGAGACCAACUUCCAUGUCCCAUACUUGACACAAAAAUCGGAACCGUAGUAACCAACAGGUUUAAAGCAAAUACGAAGAGGUGCGCAGAGAGGAGCAGCUCUCAGGGGAAUAGCGCCUUGUUAUGUAUUCAGCACACACAUGACACAUGCAUGCUUGGAGCAAUGUUUAAGCGAGGCUUGGAGACUCCCCAGAUG